rnacentral:rRNA from 1 species
GAUGAACGCUAGCGGCAGGCUUAAUACAUGCAAGUCGAGGGGUAGCAAGAUUGUAGCAAUACAAUUGAUGGCGACCGGCAAACGGGUGCGGAACACGUACACAACCUUCCAAUAAGUGGGAAAUAGCCCAGAGAAAUUUGGAUUAAUACCCCGUAACAUAACGAUGUGGCAUCACAUUGUUAUUAUAGAUUUUUCGCUUAUUGAUGGGUGUGCGGCUGAUUAGAUAGUUGGCGGGGUAACGGCCCACCAAGUCUACGAUCAGUAGCUGAUGUGAGAGCAUGAUCAGCCACACGGGCACUGAGACACGGGCCCGACUCCUACGGGAGGCAGCAGUAAGGAAUAUUGGACAAUGGACGCAAGUCUGAUCCAGCCAUGCCGCGUGAAGGAUUAAGGUCCUCUGGAUUGUAAACUUCUUUUAUAAGGGACGAAAAAAGGCUUUUCUAAGUCGUCUGACGGUACCUUAUGAAUAAGCACCGGCUAACUCCGUGCCAGCAGCCGCCGUAAAAC